rnacentral:siRNA from 1 species
CUUUUGUUCAAUCAUUCAUUGGCC